GCUUUGUAUUUGGCUCAACGAAAAC
rnacentral:piRNA from 1 species